ACGCUAACGAGGAGUUUGGUAGGAAGACCCUGGUGCUGGGCUCAGGGUAGCCCCAGCUCUGGCACAAAACACCCUGUGACUGUAAUGCCACUCAGAUGGCUGUAAUGCCACUCAGAUGGCUGUAAUGCCACUCAGAUGGCUUAAUGCCACUCGGGCACCCAGGGCCCUUCAGCUUCACCUCUGCUGGUUUUUUGCUUCCCUCUGAAAUGGGGUUUGGACUCCGAAUCCCUGGGGAUGAGUUUGCUUUAAGAAGCAGCCUGUGUCCCCAAUGCCUGCUUUGUCUUCCUGUCUUGAUUCUCACUCACACUCUCUUGCUUUCACUCGCCAUCUGCAUAACUCGGUGUUUGCCUGGUGGUGGCCGCAACCUCUACGGUCUCUAUAGGCAGUAAGGUUUGUGAUUCGGGCUUUUUACAUGUUGCCAUCACAGAGUCCUCAGGUUCUAAGUAAGCUGUAAACAGAACUAGCCCAGGACUCUGAAACAGGACCCUUUCUGAUAUUACACUAAGGACGUUUAACCUUUUAAUGUGAAAAUCAUCUUUUACUUUGGAUCUAACGGACAGGAGAGAAGC
rnacentral:lncRNA from 1 species